UCUCUCUGUCUACCUAUCCAUUCAUCCAUCCAUCCAUCUCUCUACCUUUCCAUCCAUCCAUCCAUCCAUCCAUCCAUCCAUCCAUCCAUCCAUCCAAUCAAUCCAUCCAUCCAUCCAUCCAUCCAUUUCUCUACCUUUCCAUCCAUCCAUCCAUCCAUCCAUCCAAUCCAUCCAUCCAUCCAUCCAUCCAUCCAAUCCAUCCAUCCAUCCAUUCAUCCAUCCAUCUCUCUACCUUUCCAUCCAUCCAUCCAUCCAUCCAUCCAUCCAUCCAUCCAUCCAUCAAUUUCUCCCGGCAGGAAGGAAGUGCUUGUCACAAGACCCAACUGCCACUCCCAGUUGGCCCCUUCCCCCACAAACUGUCAUUCUUGUUUCCUUUCCACAAUACCUACCUAUUCAUCUAUCUAUCCAUCUAUCUGCCAGUUGUCUAUCCACCUCUCUAUUUAUCCAUCCAUUCAUCUCUCUACCUACCUAUCUACCAAUCGUCUAUCCAUCUAUCUAACUACCCAUCUAUCCAUCAUCCAUCCACCCACCUACUACCUUUCAAUCCAUCCAUUCAUCCAUUUUUCUGCUUACCUAUCCAUCCAUCCAUCCAUCCAUCCAUCCAUCCAUCUUUCUGUCUAUGUGUCUGUCUACUGAGGCAAAGAAGAUCCACCACGUACUCUGGUGAAGAGAGUGCCCAGGCGAAUGAAAUCACCGUCUCUGAAUCCCCCAAAGCAUUCCUGAGCAUCAAGGCAAAAGAUUGCAUAGCAACAAGUUUUGUAAUCCAAGCCCCUCACAAGCACCAGCUUAGGAAAAUAACAAAACACAACUACAGCAGAAGAGGUUCAGUUCUCUUUCAUCAGGAAAGGCGGCUAGAUUCAGAAAAGGCACCUCCUCCGGCUCCCUGAGAAAAUUGUGCGUUAAUUGGGAAGAGGUCAAACCAUUGGGCCGCCCCAUAGGAGACACAACUGGGCCCCCUCUCAAAGCUGCUCCUGGGAGCUUAUCGCUCAUGGGCCGUGCCUAGGACUGCUCAAAUAACGGUGUCUGGCACAGAUCCUGCGGCGGCUCACGGAAAGUAAAAGGAAGCCGGGUUAAUUGAAACCUUCCUCGAAUGUUCAAACAAUCCACAGGAAAACACCACUAACCCGGAGCAUCAUCUCUCAGCCUGGACUUAUUUCACCCCACUUUUCGGGUAGCAUCGGCAGCUUUUUCCACUCGUAACCACUUUCUUACCGCCACCUCUGAUAAAAUGGGGUGGCCGCAGUGUGGGGCCUUCCAACCUUGACAGUCUUCUCCAAGUUCAAAAAAAUAAACAAUCUACUCCAGCAGAAAAAUAUGCAUGUGUAAAGAAAUGUGAUUUCCAUCAUUUCCAUUCCAUUACUCUAAAAACUAUUUUGUAGUCAUUUAUUCUGUAGCAUAAUUGAGAGAGUGGAACGAUAGUAUCAUAGCUUAUUUGCCAAAAAAUCUAAUGGAUUUUUUUUUAUUCAUUUUAAAUCACCCUGGCAAGAGUCAGGAUAGACCUAAAGAGGGUCAUUGUCAUGUUCUGGGUUGUUGUUGUUUUUCAACAUUCUCUUUCAAAAGAGAUUGAAAGCUAUGACUUAGGUAGUAGACGUAGAAAACGCCACAAAAUAGAUGGUAUUUGCUGCUGCAGAGGCAGAAAGCCUAAUUCUGCUGGGUUAUUUCAUUCUGAAAAAUUGUCCUUAUUCAGACACCCUAAUGGGUGCUUGUGUGUCCGAAUCCUAGGCAACUGUACAAAAACCUCCUCAAGGGUUGUUAUCUAACUGCCCAAGAAAACAUCAUCAAAUUUGUUUCCCAGCAGGCCAAAAGUCUUGAAAAAAGAAAGGUAUUGUUACUUAAUCUGGUCAGGGGGCCACAAAACUCAUUCAGCAGAAAUAAGCAUAAAUAAUUAUAAAUCUAUAAAAACAAAAAUCUAUUUCACCCCUGCUAAUCUCACAGUCCUACUGAUUUAUAAAUACAUAGGCAUGGUUCUUCCAUUUACAAAUGUAUUUCAUUAGAGUUUAAGUGAAGGUUUUUCUUUAUACAGUUCCCUAUAAAAAUGCCAAGGACAAGGACAAGCAAAAGACCCCUCUCCCACCCUGACUACUUCCUUCUCCCAUAUUUCACGUCCAGACACAAUACAGGUAUCCCUUCGACAGGGAGAGUUUCCCCAUCACAAUUUUUCUGUUAUCAUGGGUCGGCUUAAGAAAUUAAAUGGGAAUGUUGGGGGAAUUUUGCCAAAGACACAGACGACACAGAAAAAGUUUAGAAACUCAUAAAAGCAUAAAAUAUAUGUAGAAUAUAAUAUCAAAUUUAUCUUGUAACUAUACACAAUUUAAAAAAAAAGUUCAAGUACUUAACCUAUAGUUUACAAUUAAGGUACUGUCAAUAUCCCAUAAAAGAAAAAGAAAAAAUGAGAAGACUUCUGAAGAGAGAUGCAAAAAAUCUUUCUCAGAUUUCUAAAUUACAGGGGCACCGUGCCCCUAACCCCCCUGCAAGGUGGUGGUGGAACUAUGCACAGAAUCUGCAGUGGAAGGGAAACCUUUAAAAAGAAAGAUACUGUUUAUUUAAUCUGGUCAAGGGACCACAAAACUCAUUCAGUCGAAAUUAGGUCAUUAUCUAUGAAAAUAUAUUUCACCACUGCUAAUUUCACAGUUCCACUGAUUUAAGCAUAAUAAUAAUUAUUAUAAUUAUUACAUUAGAAGAGAGAUAGCUUUCUUGUACCUACUAAUAAUUUAGUAUGCUUUAGUAAGCCAGGCCAGUAUGCUGGGGCAAUAAAUGUGUUAUUCUCAUAAUCAAUCAAACACAGGUUAAAAUAAGGGACUUUAUUAGUACAAGGGGAUAGGGCACAGGGUGAGUUAAAAUCUAGCCUCAGGCACUUACUAUGUGACCCUGGACAAGUCACUGUAACCUCUAUUUGCCUUAGUUCCUCAUCUGUACAAAUGGGAACACACUGGGGAAGAAAACAGCAAGCCGCUUCAAUAUCUUUGCCCCCCAACUCCCUGUGGAAUAAAAGUUCACAGGCUCACACAGAAUUGGAGGCUAAUAAUAACAAUAAUAAUAAUAAUAAUGGCCUACAUCGAUGAUCUACCUCAUUCCCCAAUAUUUCUGCCUUUCCACAUUCAAAUUUUCCUAAGGAGAUUUCUGUCAAGGGCUCUUUAGUACAGUCAAAUUUUUGAUGCAAAGAAAUAGUUGAAGAAGUAAUUAGGCCUAGGCCCAUUUGUAAGAGCUGCUCAUACCUUGCUCUCAUCAAAGAGAACACCUGCUUGUGAAACAAGAAACUAUGUCCUGGAACAAGUGUUUUAUCCCAGAACAAGGCAGGAGAGGUAGACUCAAGGCAGGCUAGCUCCAACACAGAUGUGCUGACAGACCCGGUAUCUCCUAGGAGGGACACAGAUGUCUGCAAUUUUUUUCCUUAACUUUUCAAGACUCCCCCCCCCCUUUUUUAUUUUUAAAAAGCCGUCUUUCCAUUUUAAGCAACACAUAUUUUUUGUUUGUUUUUUUUCCCGUGGCCUCUCCACAGCAUCAUCACAGGGUCAGUGGCUGUGGAUUCUCAAAUGAACUCAAAUAUCUAAAGUUCUUGGCACCCCUUAAAGCGAUAUUUCCAAGGGUUCUGGCCAGUGAAGUUCUGGAUGGUUCUACCAAGUUGCCAAAGCUUUGAGUACAGUUUCAGUGUACCAGUUCUGGCACUCAGUGAACUGAAUCGGGUUUCCCUAUUGGCAUGUUUAAAUGCCUUCACAGAUGCAAUGCCUGAGAACAGUAGAAAGGCUGGAAAACCCAGAAGGGACUCUGUGGAGGAAGAGAAAUGGGAGCAUUUAAUAUUUUCAAAUAUUCCGGAUGGCUAGUAAAUGAAGCAAACAAGAGCACUUUCUCCUCCUGCAGGAUUUCAGCGUUCAGAAGCUAUGGUUCAAUGUCUCCCCGUGUGCUUUCAGAGGCAUGGAGCUUUACUGUAACUAAUUUAAGUGCCUUACUCUCCUUGUUUGGUGGGGUGAGGGGGGAAAAGUGAAGAAGGGGGUCACUACAAUCCUAUCGUGAAAAAUAAGAUUUUGAUUACAUAAAUACACUUAACAGUGGGAAAGUCCUCCAUUUCCUUUUUCUUUUCUUUUUUUGGCCAUUUUUUUCCUCCCCUGAAAUAAUGAGCCUUGUCACAUUUCUUUGUUAAAAACUGCCUCCUAUUUUCGAAAAGACCUUUCUCUAAUCUUCCAUUUUAGGCUCUUACCAGGUCACAGAAAUGCAAGUCACUUGGCAUCCCAUUUCAAAUUAAAUGGCACACGAGAUAGAGGAAACCAAAGAUCACUAGUGCCUAUAUAACGUGCCAGGUGGUCCGUCCAACAGCCUGGCUCAGGCCUCCAAGUUAUACAACAGGAAAACUUCUUUUAUUAAAGAUGGGUUCAUUUAAAAUGGCCUCUUCAUAAUGACAGCUUUUUGGAAAAUCCUCACUGAUUUUUUAACUAACCUAUAAAACUGCUCAUCAGCCUCCUUAUCAGCUGAGGUGGUUAUUCUAGUGGAUUAGAUCAAAUGACAAGUAAGGGCUAAUGAGGCUAAGGUAGUGGGUCGGUAUCAUAUGGGCCAGGUGCUUGGCACGGAGAAAACUUGAAUCCUGGCCCCGGGCUUCUGGAAUGCAGAUUGUCGGUGCGGAUCCACCAGGUGCACAGCCAAUCCUGCCCCUCUUCCCAUUUCAACACAGAUUCCAGGAACCAGGACUCCUGUUGGGUCCUCUUUAAGGAGAGUUAUAAAGCCAUCGCUGUGGCUGACGUUCAUUUACUUUGUAUCCCCUGGCUCAGGUGGAAUGGCUGGAUUUCUGAGAGCGAUGAGGCAACAGCCAAGAGGGUGGCUGAAGUCUGGUGAGACAUCAAGGCCCUCCGCUGCAUCCUAGCCAUCACCAGAGGGCCAUCCUGACUCUUGUCUCGGCAGUGGAUGAGUCUGGAAGAGGGAGGGAGGCUGAGGAUUCGGUCCAUUUCUGCCUCACUCCCAUCCAGUUCCCACGCAGUCAAGACAUCAUCCCAGGAUAUCAGCGGUCCUCUUCUAAAGGAACCUUCUUGACGACUUCCUUUUCCAUGCCCUUCCCUUCUAGUCUCUUCUUCAAGAGACACGGACGGACAUUCUUAUACACGAAAAUCAAAGAAAUGGCAGAAGGAUGGCGAACAAGGAAAUGUAGAACAGAAAGCGAUGGGAACCAAAAAAUGGCUUAAGGUCAAGACUUCCAGACUGAAGGGUCCAAUUCAAACUGUCCUUUCUAAAAAGAGGGCCGCAGGGGGCAGCUGGAGUAGCCAGGCCUAGGGAUGGGAAGUCCUGGGUUCAAAUCUGACCUCAGAUACUUCCUAGCUGUAUGACCCUGGGCAAGUCACUUAACCCCUAUGGCCUAGCCCUUACUGCUCCUCUGCCUUAGAACCAAUACAUAGUAUUAACUCUAAGAUGGAAGGUAAGAGUUAAUUUAAAAAAAAGUUACAAAAAGUGAAAAGUGACUUCACAAGGUAUUGAUUUGAAUUCAGUUCUUCUGAUCAAAUUCAAUACCCUUUCCACUCUCUGCUCCCCAAUAUUAUUCUUAAUGUUCAAUCUGAGGGAGGGGAGACCAAUUCUGAGGCUAAAUGAAAGGUUUCCUGGAUACAAUAAAAACUCUACGGUGUUCUCUGUUGUCUUUAUAAUAAAAACUCAAGCAAAUUAGAAGUCAGGGUUUUUUCAAAUUUCUUUCAUUAUGAGUUUAAUCAAAUGCAAACAUUUAAAUAUACAAAGAACAAAAAAAGGUCUGUAUAGCAACCCAUUCUGUUAUAUACAGUUUUUGUCUUUAGCUAUAUAUUAAAUUUAACAAGGCAGUUAACAAAAGUGCCCUGCUUGUGUCUCCUGACCUUUUGUGAAUAAAAUCUU